CUACGUGCCAGCAGCCGCGGUAAUACGUAGGGUGCAAGCGUUGUCCGGAUUUAUUGGGCGUAAAGGGCUCGUAGGCGGUUUGUUGCGUCUGGUGUGAAAGCUUACUGCUUAACGGUAGGUUGCGCUGGAUACGGGCAGGCUUGAGUGCAGUAGGGGAGACUGGAAUUCUCGGUGUAACGGUGGAAUGUGUAGAUAUCGGGAAGAACACCUAUGGCGAAGGCAGGUCUCUGGGCUGUUACUGACGCUGAGGAGCGAAAGCGUGGGGAGCGAACAGGAUUAGAUACCCUGGUAGUCCAUGCUGUAAACGGUGGACGCUGGAUGUGGGGCCCAUUUCCACGGGUUCUGUGUCGGAGCUAACGCGUUAAGCGUCCCGCCUGGGGAGUACGGCCGCAAGGUUAAAACUCAAAGAAAUUGACGGGGGCCCGCACAAGCGGCGGAGCAUGCGGAUUAAUUCGAUGCAACGCGAAGAACCUUACCAGGGCUUGACAU
rnacentral:rRNA from 1 species